rnacentral:ncRNA from 1 species
AGAUGAGCAAUGAACGGAAUUAGUAUAUGAAGAGAAUGCUUCAGAGAGAAGGCGGAUGGUGCGAGCCUUUGCAGGAACUCAUAGAACCGGUCCGGGAGCUCCCGCGUGAAAAGUGCGGCGUAAUUCCUGCGUUAGAGGAAAAAGAGUGAACACAGUGCGUAACGCAUGGUGUUAAUUAGGGUGGUACCGCCGGGAAUUCCGGUCCCUUGU